AAAUAUAGAGGAGAUGACAAUGGCGAUCGAGAGGCAGAACGACUCCUCCUGAACUCGACGGCUCCAACUCCCAACUCCGAAGGCCGAUUCCUUCAGCUCCUCCCUUUCACUCCGACGUCCUUGACUGCCACGCCCGACGCCCGACGCACUCUCUCUCUCCCUCCCUUUCCAUCUUAUUCAACGGACCCCCUCCUCCCCUUCACGCCCUGACGACAGAUGUCAAGUUCAACUGUGAACGCCAGUAGCUCAGAUCGGUUGAUGUACUUCAUCAAAAAUUGUCCUACAUGUAAGAAAAAGGCCAUCAUUCAAAUUUCUGAGACCGAUCAAAACAAAAACAAGCUAUUCUACUCUUGUAAUGGUUGUGGCCUUUUCAUUGGAUGGUGUGUGCCUAUGAAUUCAGAAUGUGGAGAUCAAGAAAUUCCAAGACAAGUAGAAAGAGAACUGCUAAGAUCUAUGACGGAACAAGUUCGAGCUAUGACCGAACAACAAAGAUCUAUGACGGAACAAUUUAGCUGUGUUACUGCAAAGAUGCAAAAACUAGAAUUUGUGAUGUUUUUCUUGCUUGUAAUUGGUGUGUUAUUACUUAUGAAGAUGUAAUGCUACUUAGAAGUACAAGUAGAAGUAGAUAGAACUAUGUUUUGUUGUGGAAUGAAAUAUGUAUUGUUGAAUAUGUUUUGUGGAAUGGAAUAUGUGUUGUUGUUAAUUGUUGAA